UAAGUCAUGGGCCAGGUGCACGUUUUUCACUGCACCAUGAGGAUCUCACUGGCUGUACAUCUUGAUGCAGCUUUGUACAGACGAUUGCAGAAUUUGCAAAUCCUUUUCCUCCUCCCUCAUAACUGUUCAUGAGGUUUUGACUUCUUCAGCAAGCCUUGCUGCCAUGGUUUUCCUUUCAGUGGUUUGGAUGCUGAGGCUAGCAUUAGUGCCAGUGCCAUACUGUUUGUUUUCAGCAGCACUGCUGGAGUAUUUAACUUUUUUCUGAGAUGGGUCUACUAUCCUGAGUUGGUAGUCUGUAGUGUAUGAAGCCUGCCUCCAGCUCUCUUAGGAAAGCUGUGGGGUUCUGUGGGUACUGGACUGCUGCUCCUGUAUCAGCUUCAUUGCUGGCUUCCCUUCUGUGACCAUGAAGAAGUCAUUUUGGAUGCAGUUUUCAAAAGCUCUGCUGAAAUUUGAUGGGAGCAAGGAGCUUUGAAGCGGAUCAGUGCCCAGCCACAACACGAGACAGCUUUUCACUGGCACUGGCUAGAAGUCAUCAGGACUGGGGACCCUCUGACUUUCUGAGAGGCAUGAAUUGACCUCCUGCCUUUCAUCAGCCUCCCUAGAUAGCUUCCUGAAAAUUUACACUGUUUCAGGAUACAAGAGAGAUCCUACAUGAAGCAAUCGUAAACUGGAUUUUGGCACCAUUUACUUGUUUCUCCAAAGCAAUAAAAAAGAAACUCGAGGUUAAUUUUGUAAUGUUCAUGGAAGAGGAUUGCCAGUAACCUACAAACAACUUCAAAAUUUUCAUUAAUGCAAGAAGAAAAGUACGAUGGGAAGAGAAAUCUACUCAUGUCCUACACAUGAUAGUGUACUGAUGUGAUUCAGCCCAUGGCUCUAUCUGUUGCCAAUGCUUAUAGCAAGCUGUGACCCUCUGAACUGCAGGUUUUCCUCCCUGGGAUGAUGGGAAUGGGAAAUAGUCUUCCCAUUCCCAUCUUAGAAUCAUAGAAUCAUAGAAU